GCAAGAGCUCUACUAGGAAGACUUGAGUAUCAAAAGGGUAACAUAGAAGCUGCACUUCAUGUAUUUGAAGGAAUAGACAUUGUUGCAGUGACUCCUAGGAUGAAAGGAUCCAUUUCUAGAAGAUGUGAACAAAAUAGACGCCGUUCAUAGAGUGAUUCUGUCCCACCUAUGUCCAUGCACGCUGUUAGUCUGCUCCUUGAAGCUGUUCUUCUCAAAGCAAAAUCAUUGCAAGGCCUUGGACGAUAUGAAGAAAAAUUGUGAUGUGUUAGACCUGAACUGCCAACCGAAGAGAUCUAGCUAUGGGUUACCUAAGGACAAAUUUAUAUUUGCUUGUUUUAACCAGUUAUACAAGAUGGAUCCUGCUAUUUUCAAUACAUGGUGCAACAUCCUUAAGCGAGUACCAAAUAGUGCACUUUGGCUUCUCAGAUUUCCUGCUGCUGGCGAGUCGAGACUCUGCAAUUAUGCUGUUCAAAGAGGUGUACAACCAGAUCAGAUUAUUUUCACAGAUGUUGCCAUGAAGGGUGAACAUAUCAAGCGCAGUGCUUUAGCAGAUUUAUUCUUGGACACGUAAGCAUGCUUAAUACUUUUUUUUCUAUUUUUUAUUAUUCAAGUGUAUUUAUCUUAGUACAAUACAAUAUGUAACUUUAUUUUGACAUUUGAUGUUGCUAUUGCUGAUUGAUUUUGCUAUUGCUAUUUUGUUUCUUUAUUUUUUUUGGGUGGUGUGUGCUCUGUAGCAUUGCAUUUAGUUAGCUUAAUAUUUAGCUCAUAUUUUCUUGAGUCGUUGCACCAGAAUUCCCUUAAUCAAGAGCCAUAUUCUGUCCCAAGGACAAUGCUCAUCUUUUAGUUAAUUCCACUUGUAUCUUGAUCAGGUUAUGAAGUAAUUUUUUUUAUUAUCUAUAUUGUGUUGAGACUUACUUAUUACUCAAAGCCUAUUGUGAAAAUCGAAAUUGUGAAGCUCCAAGAAUAUGAAGAGACUUUGAUUGCAUCUAUAAAUCUUUAUCAUUAUUUUCAUACAGCAUUUAUCAUCUAUUUUCCUUCAAUCAAUGACUUAUUAUUAAGAGAAGUCUAUUACUCUGAAUUAGAUUAUCUUCUUCUCCAAUUCUUUGGACCUAGGGAAAAAAACUGUAGUCAUUUUCCUCCUCUCCUUCUCUCCUUCUCUCCUCUGAUUUCUCAUUUUCCCUUUUUUGUAGAAUUAAUGAUGCUUUUUUGGGCAUAUUUUAUCUGCUUUAGUUUGUUUUGAAAAUAUUUGAGUGGCAAUUGACUGUGUUAGUGUGGCAGAGUUAGGCAUUUUAUAUUAGUAAGUUUGUGAGCUUCAACUUUAGGGAGGGAGGGUUCUAAUUCUCUUGAACACUUGGAAACAUUGUUUACUGAUAUCUAUUAGUAAGUAAAAUAAUAGUCUACCAUAUUUCUCUCUCUUUAAAAAAAAAUAAAACCAAAAUUAUAAAAGGGAACUGGGGUGAAUGAAUCUACAUCUUUAGGUCGUGGAAGCACUCUUGUUACUCUACUUUUGAUCUCAAUGAGAACCUAAUAGAAAAAUUCUUUCAUACAAAAUUCAUUUUUUCUGUUUCUAGUGUGUGUGGCACACUUUAUCUUAAUGUUAUGUUUAUGCAUUUUUACAAUCUCUACGUUGUCAAGAUACCUAUAUCAUUUCUAGAAAUAGCAGCUUGUAUGUUAUUAUCUUAUUUCCCCACUGGUUUUAUUCCAAAUAUAGGAGAGUGAACAAGUUAAAAGGAUGUCUUCAUUUAAUCACUUUCUUAUUAUUUUUCCCCAUAUUUAAUAUUUUCCAAUUAUACAUGCUUCUUAUAUUUCACCAUAUUUAAUAUGUUACAAUUAUACAUGGUUCUUCUAUUUCAAGCAUCUCAAACGUGUGCACCAAAGAAUGUGAAUAAUCUAUGCUCUUUUUAUACUCUGUUUGAUUAGCUUAAUGGUCCAUUGAUUGUGAAGAAAACAUAAAAACUAAAUUCUUCUUUUGCUCAUUUUGGAUAUAGCAUGCUCUCUUUUAUGUUAGUAGACUUCCAAAUCUUUGAAGUUAGAACCUUCUUUGUUUACUCUAUGCAAGUAGGAUAUGAUCUUCUGAUCCAAACCAAUAGUAAUUCAAUCUAGAAGUUAGUUGUACCAAACUAGUUUUUUAAGUUGUUGGUCUCGACAGAGUUGUUAAUUAGUUGUGGUGCUUAAGUAUAGAUGACUGUUUGAUCUUAUAUGUGUUCCUAGUUAUGGUUGUGGUGGUGGUAUUGUUUUUGUACCAGUGGCAGUAAGGAGUUAUUUAAAUAUUUAUAACUUGAUUAGUGUGCAUUAAUAUAAUUAGGGGUGUGCAUAACAUGGUUCUCUUGUUCUGUUUUGAUAAAUGUUCCUUGCAUAUUAAACUACACAUUGUGGAAUGUGUCCAGUAUAUAAUACCAUCCACCUCCUGCAUAUGUGAUGAACAACCUGGUGACUAAAACCAAUAUGUAUCAACACCAUCCACUCCAUAAAUUAAUUGAAGAAUAUCCAGAACGACUUGGCCAAUCCGAAUAUCUAUUUUCUCUUUAAUUCAUUACUUCUUUAAUAUAUUAUUUUCUUUUUUAAUUCAUGCAUGUGUGUUGUUGUUAUAUGUCCAAUAGUAUAAUAGUAUUGGCUAUCAUUUGGGUCAUGUUUUUUUUUCUUCUGAGUUCAGGCAUAGUUGCUCAAAGUUUGAGAUCUUUAGGUUUUGCUUAGACUAACCACUAUCAUCAAUAAUUAGUUCUAGUAAAGAGUGUACUGAUCAAAGAAAAGCAUUAAUCAUAAUAUUGAAACAUACAUAACAUAUAAAAAUAUAUUGGUCCACCGAUCAAGCAAAAAUGAAAUGAGAUUGAUAUGCUCUGUUAUGUUUGGUUCUUGUGGGCUUCUUACGUAGGGAUAGUUCAAAAGUGUUCUUCUUCUUUGUAUUUUUUUGAUCUGAAAGCAUGCUGUAUAAACUUUUUUGCAUGGUCCUCUCUUGAUGAUGCCUUGUCUUAUGUUUUUAUAAGUAUUUUUUCUUUGUAACAAAAGCUGUCUUUGUGUUGUUCCUUGAGUCACCGCCAUGUGCAUCUUGUUCAAUACAUUCAGAAUUUGGAAAUAUCUUGUCUUGAAAAGAAUUUGGAUAUGAGACUCGAUGUAGUCACCAAAGAAACUAAACCUGGUCUAACUGUAAGUCUUCUAUAUAUCAUAUUAACUGAAAAUCUAGCUUUCUAGAGACUACAUAGAUAUUGAUUACUGCUAAAUUAUUCAUGCUAUACUAUAGGAAGAUGACAUGCUAUUUACUUUUUUACAGUAACCUUGCUAUUAUGAACACUUAGAAUCUUGUGCAACUGGGAUAUCUAACUGAAACUAAUCUAGAUUUUUGAUGUUUUGACAAUACUAAUUAACUAAAAGCUUCUGUAGCAAUACCUGCUAGGCUGUGUGUUUUGCUUUAAUGGGCAUUGGCAGCUCAUUUCAUGCUCAAGAAACUACUGUGAGUGGGCAAUUGGAGAGUCGAGUGUGGGUUGUUGAGAUCAUCUGCACUUUGGUCAUGAAAUUAUCUCCUAAUCCUAAUAGUGCUGCUAUAAUGGCCAUGGGUGUUAACAUCUUGGCAAAGAGAUUGAAAUGGAAGGAUGCUUUCUCUUCAAUCUUGUGAUAUUUGUGAUUGUAGAGUUAUUUUGACUGGAUUUGGAUUGGGGUUCUUGAUUGAGUUUCUAUCCCAUGCUGCCAUUGUUGGGUUCAUGGGAGGAGCUGCCAUUACAAUUGCCUUUCAGCAGCUCAAAGGAUUGCUUGGCAUAAAAAUGAAUUUCACAAAGAAGACUGAUAUUGUCUCUGUUUUGCGCUCAGUGUUUAAUUUAACCCACCAUGUUGUAAUAUGAUUUCUUAAGCCUAGACUAGUAGACUAAAUAUUGUAAUUACAUGUGAGUAAUUAAUAAAAAUCUAUUUAUGUUACCUUA